rnacentral:tRNA from 1 species
UCCCAUGUACCUCAGAUGGUAAAGAAUCUGCCUUCUGUGCAGGAGGCCCAGGUUCUAUCCCUGGGUUGGGAA